rnacentral:rRNA from 1 species
ACGGGGCCCGCACAAGCGGUGGAGCAUGUGGUUUAAUUCGAUGCAACGCGAAGAACCUUUACCUGGUCUUGACAUCCACAGAACUUUCCAGAGAUGGAUUGGUGCCUUCGGGAACUGUGAGACAGGUGCUGCAUGGCUGUCGUCAGCUCGUGUUGUGAAAUGUUGGGUUAAGUCCCGCAACGAGCGCAACCCUUAUCCUUUGUUGCCAGCGGUCCGGCCGGGAACUCAAAGGAGACUGCCAGUGAUAAACUGGAGGAAGGUGGGAUGACGUCAAGUCAUCAUGGCCCUUACGACCAGGGCUACACACGUGCUACAAUGGCGCAUACAAAGAGAAGCGACCUCGCGAGAGCAAGCGGACCUCAUAAAGUGCGUCGUAGUCCGGAUUGGAGUCUGCAACUCGACUCCAUGAAGUCGGAAUCGCUAGUAAUCGUGGAUCAGCACGCCGCGGUGAAUACGUUCCCGGGCCUU